AUGAGUUCUCCGUGCUUUCUGAAAAGCAGACUGAAGCAGAGUUGUGGCAGCUGCUGCUUCUCCUGCUUUAGAGGAGGAAAUAAGUAAUUCUGCUCUUGAAAGAUUUAAGGAUUUUCUUCUGAAUCUCAUUCUCCACCAGCAUAAAACAAUAGGAAUUUCCAGAGUCCUGAUUAAAUUACUGGCGUCUGUUUCCCUUACGUUGGCCAACAGAAAGCGUUUCAUUAUGAAGGCACCCCCCUCUCUGUGCAUAGCUGAAGCAAAAGCCAGAGUUUUGAUUUUAGUGAAGGCUGAAGCCUACUUAUUUUGUCAAGAAGUUGUAAGCGUGAUCGCUGCACUCCUGCCUUCCUUGCAAAGGACACCCCGGAGAGAGCAACAAAUAGAAAAAAAAGAGAGCUUCCCAGCACGAGGAACCCUGGGAUACUUAUCUGCGUGCUUGACCCAGUGCAAAAAUACUGACAGCCAGGCUGUGUUUUGGCCUCAGCAUGGCUCCUGGCUGCCUGGUCUGGGCUAUUUCAGUCUGCGAGGGUACUCUGCAAAGCGGAGAAAAGAAGCCAAGGAUGAAAAGGGAAAUGACUGGUCUACUGUUGCAUUGGGAGGCUGUGCUAGGACACAGAAGAUUCAGAAGAAAGAGACCGGGUUGGUAGUUUUGCAAUGUAAUGAAUUCUCACAGGUAGUGAGCUGGUGUAGAUGGUGAUUUUAGAGCAUAUACAUCUAGCACUGCUGCUAUCUCUGUAUUCCAGCUCCCCGCUCAGCCUCUGUUGCCCAGGUUAGCUGAGAGCUGUGAAAGACGUCAGCUUCCUCUGGACUAGCGCUGGCCUGAGAACGCUUCCGCGUUCUGACUGCUGCCCUCCUUUUUGCAG
rnacentral:lncRNA from 1 species